rnacentral:rRNA from 1 species
GAUUCCUUUCGGAGUAGGGGGACUGCGGAAGGAUCAUUAAAGAGACGUUGCCCUUCGGGGUAUACCUCCCACCCUUUGUUUAUUAUACCUUUGUUGCUUUGGCGGGCCCGUCCUCGGACCACCGGCUUCGGCUGGUCAGUGCCCGCCAGAGGACCUAAAACUCUGUUUGUUCAUAUUGUCUGAGUACUAUAUAAUAGUUAAAACUUUCAACAACGGAUCUCUUGGUUCUGGCAUCGAUGAAGAACGCAGCGAAAUGCGAUAAGUAAUGUGAAUUGCAGAAUUCAGUGAAUCAUCGAAUCUUUGAACGCACAUUGCGCCCCCUGGUAUUCCGGGGGGCAUGCCUGUUCGAGCGUCAUUACAACCCUCAAGCUCUGCUUGGUAUUGGGCUCUGCCGGUCCCGGCAGGCCUUAAAAUCAGUGGCGGUGCCAUUCGGCUUCAAGCGUAGUAAUUCUUCUCGCUUUGGAGACCCGGGUGCGUGCUUGCCAGCAACCCCCAAUUUUUUCAGGUUGACCUCGGAUCAGGUAGGGAUACCCGCUGAACUUAAGCAUAUCAUAAGCCCGGAGGA